GAUACCGCGUUGUUCGGGCGAUUACAGUCUGAUAGUAAUCUAAAUGACCCUAUCCUGUGCUAUGAUUGAGUAGGGGUAAAAUGGUACUUUAACAAGCUCCAUUCUCUUCAUAACUUCUUCCUUCGCUGGGUUCCCAUCCCCAUUUCACAUGGAAGCCAAGCCGACUGUACCAAUAGAUUUGAGAACGACUUAAUUCUCAUGGUUUGGUAAUUCCUAUAUUAAUUGCUUCUGAUGCUGAGAAGUGGAAGUUGAAGUUUUGUGACAAAAAGCCCAUUUGUUGUAGAAUUCAACACUGACCCAUUGGCGAUGAUAUAAAGGGUAUUCAGGGAUAAUCUUCACCAUUCAGACCCAGUUGACCCCGACUGAUUUUGGAGGCGAGGCAUCUGAUUACUGAUUUCUUAAUCAGAAGGCAGCCAAAUCCAGUUGGGUCCAGAUAUCUUAUCCGAUGUGAUGAUAAAAUCAGGCCGGAAAAAGGGUCAGUCCAAUUGAAUUCAUGCCCUUGGGGACCGAAUGAGCCAGCAUCGAGCAAGACAUGCCAAUUGUUCUAUUGAGCCAGGGCCAAUGCCAUCCAUUGGUAAGAAUAACUAGGCUCUCUUUCUCCCUAAAUGUUGGGAGGUUGUGAAAGAGGAUUUUAUUACUUAGUUCUUCAUUGUUUUGCUCAUGGAAAGCUACCUCAAAGCAUUUGUAGCACUAUCAUGAUAUCUAUUUGUUUUUAUAUAUUAUAGUUGUGUACAUUUUCUAGUGUUAUAAGUGGAGUGAAUUGUUUGAAA